rnacentral:sRNA from 1 species
GGGUUAGAUGGAGAAGGGGGGUUCAUUUCUUUCUGAUAGUGACGGCCUUGGUUCACAGGCUGAAAGAAACAAAACAUCUGUGAGGCGGAAACCCAUCAGCUUGGCGACCUUGGCACACACCCUCGCAUCAGUCCUCAUUUCUGAUGUUUUGAUAUCAACGGUUCUCAUUUUUUGAGAUCUUAUUUCUGAUAUUCCAUCUGCAGGAGAGAGCUGCGUCCCCUUCCCAGCGUAGGCAGAGGCUCUGGGAGACCCAGCAAUCCCAGGGUGGCAUAACCCACAGAACGCAGGCCACUUUAAAGGGUUCCGUAGCAUCUGUGAUGUAAACAGAGGCCUCCCUCACAUGAGAGCUCUCCGUGUGGAAUCUUUAGGCUGUUGCUGCUUCUGGAGACAGCAGAGGAAAACAAGGUCUCCUGCUGAAAGCACUGGCAAUGGCUAGAGGUGCAGCAAAACAUAUUUAUGUCUCAGGGCCAGUAAGUUGGCGAGGACCACUCUGUUGCCGUUAGCUUGGACUGUUCAUGUGAAUCUCAGGUCCCACCCCCAAAUGUAUACGAAAACUGUGAGCAUGGAUCAGAAUGAGCUGACAAAGUGGUGCUAGUAAAAAUGGGGACUCUCUAACCCCCCCCACAAUAAACCUUUCCUCAUUUCUUGAAACACAACUAAGAAACACACAAAAAACAAGACAGAAAAACAAAUGAAUGCCAAUAAUAAAACUUGAUUUUCUUCCUCUUUGAGGAGAAAGUUCGGACAGCUAAUACCAACUCCAUUUUGAGGAUAAUUCUAAAUGUUUUCCUAACGUGGCUAACAAUGACAAAAUUCUAACAUGGAAACCACAUUAUUUUGGCCUUCUUGUUUUACCACACGGUGGAACUUGGCAUGCAUUUGUGAAGUGCAUUCAGAACUCCUGCUCCCACAGGGGUUGCUAAGGCCCCUUCACCCUAGUGAGGAGAUGUGGUCCCAUGGUGCAGAGGUGCAGAGACCAAGCUAAGAUGUGUCAGUCACCCAUGUGAGAAUCAUGUCACUUAGCCUGGCUACCUGCGAUGCACCAUGCAUUUCGGUGCUCUCAGAUAAUUUGGUGAGUGAACGGCAGGCAACACCGUCACGGUAAUCAGAAAUAACAGCUGGGAGAACAGUGGAAGGGAAAUAUGUCAUAAGGCAUAACUCAUCUCACCAGAGAAAUCAAAAUUUCAGCAAUUUGCAAGUGAAAUUUAGUUGGCAAUUUAGGCUUUAUUAUUUAGAGCGAGAGCUGCUUCUCUGGAUCAGCUUGCACUGGGAUAGGAAAUGUCCCAAUGAUGCCGUCGUUGGCAUCCACUGUGCGUCUGCAGCACUGAGGCCUCUGGUGAAUGGACUUCUGCUUAUUUAUCUCCACAUGCACUUCCAGAACUUUCUGGGUAGGUAUCACAGCUCCAUAACCGAGCAAAUGUCCACCCCUGAAUUUUAUAGCCAUUGGUUCUAUGUAAACUCAUUCCAAGCCCUUAUUCCAGAUGCUGUCUUUCCUUCCUUGGAAAGCUCUUUGCCCUGGGCACACUAGUUCUUCUCAGUGAUCCAAGGGGGAAGAAAGGCACAUCCAAUAAUGACUCACAAUAGUGUUUGGAAACAUUCAAUAACAGCUUUUCAGAGAAGGAAAAACUUCAUAUGCAGAGGUAUGUCUGCCUGAAGUCAAAUGUCAUCAAGUUGACUUUAUGGGGCUGAAGACCUGCUACCCCACCUGUGGUAUCUUGCAUUGAGAAACAGAAGCAGUGACAAGGUUGCACAUCCCUGCCCUUGCUCUUUACCUCAUACAACUGAGGAAGGAGUUUGUGGUGUACUCCUAAACCUUAUGUGAUCCUCCCUGCACCCAGAAGAAAGGAUCCCCCUUAUCUCAAGAAGGUGCAGGAACACAGGGGAGAGGCUGAUCAAAAGGCCUUGCUAAGCUCUCCUGGUAUCCUUCCAGUAGAUCAUAUCACCUUUAUUAAAUCAUAGUUCUCCAUGAAUUUCCACUCUGUCUAAUCUAGCAUGACAAUAAGCAAGAGACCAUUUCUCUUGGAAAAUUCAAGUGUAAUCAUUUCUCUGGGUCUUCCUUUUUUUUCUUUUUGAGGGUUCUUGUGUCAUGAAACACGUAUGAAAUUUAUUUGUAGGCUUUAAAAAAGAAAUGAAUCUGUCUUCUAUUAUAAAUUCUCAGCCAUGGACCUAAGGUGGGUAGUGAAGGAGACAUUUUCCCUUUCCUGGGUUUCUCCUAUAGACAUAUCAAUAAGUUUGUUUUUUGGGUAGGUAACAUCCUGUGACGGUAUCUGUGAUGGUCAAAUAAAAUCAAGGUUUGAUUUUGGAAUUUAGCCUUACGUGCAGAAUACUCUAAGUAUUCUUAGAGUAUAAUGCAAAAGGCCAUUGCUCAUGCCCAGAAGUAACAACACCAACUCCAAUAGCAGCAGCAACUUACUGGUGUCUACGAACACCUACGAGGGCCACAGCAGUGACGCAUAUUUACCUCAGUUACCUCGUGCUAAUUCUCGAGAGGGAUGAUCUCAUUUGAGCCCCACUGCAAGCCUGUGAACUACAUAUGAUUAACUCAUUUAUUAGAAGAGGACAUUCUGCUACUAGUAUUAACCCAAGACCGUGCUUGCCAGGACACGGUGCAGCUAGGAUCUGUACCCAUUCGUGAGACUCCAUCUCGGCACUAGUUUGUUUGUAUUGUUUAAUGCAGCUUGGGAAUUCACGCAGAAUGUGGAAUGCAAUGUUUCUGAAUAACAACCUGGCAGGAUCCAUUCAGUAUACGGAAAGGAAAAAGGAAGCAGUCCCAAGAUACAUUUGUCUGAAGCAUACGAGACUGUCCGAUUUUUAUAAAUUAAGUUCACUUGAUUUGACACUCACAGCAUGUCGCUAUAUAUUUAAAGUUAACAUCAGUAAGAUUUUAAGCACACUGAUGAACGUGGGCCUGUUAUAUAUAGUUGAGUUAUAUCAGGCAACACACACUCGGAGAAUAAGGACCAUUCAUAUUGUGAGGUGACUUUUGUAGUCGCUAGCCAUAGAACAACUUGCACAUAACCAUAUUUUCUCCUGACAGCACAGAAAUGACCGUGACUCUAAUAUCAGUUUCCUCGUAUCAUUUCUCAGUUUCAUCUGAUUUUAUCUACAGUGCAGCACAAUCAAAACCCUACCUUCCUAGUUUACCCAGAUAACAAACAAGCCUGGCAUAUCCUGCAAGAGCUGAGGAACUAAUGAGUCUGUGGAUGAGAAGAAAUUAAGACCCAUUAGGUAAGAAACAUCUACAAUGCCAGUUUUGUACGCACAGCAGCCUGGACUCAGGUAAAACACAGAAAGGUGCCUGGCAGAGACAUGAACCGCCGGUCAAUGCACACAGGCCUGGCAAUGGAGGACUCUGUCCUUUAGGUGGCGCUGUUGCCAUGUCCUCGUACGAGGAAGCUGCGCUCAUAAAAUUAACCACCACCCAGAAGCUUUGAUUUCGUAUGAUCAAUUUGCUGGAAAUGUUGAGGGCCCCAGUCCGUGUGCACGGCCCCAGGAUGCCUGCUUAGCUCCAGGAGCCAUGAGAAGAGGAACUUGAAGAACUCCUGCCAGGUAGCAGGCUCCUAACAUGGAAAGGCCCUUUGGGGCUGGCUCAGCAGCUAAUGGUGCUUUCCACAGAGCCUGACAACUGGGCCCAGUCAAUCCCUGGGACUGCCAUGGUGGAAGAGAACUAAUUCAGCCAGGCUGUGCUCCAACAUCCAUGCCCGUGCCAUGGUGCGUACCCCUCACAGAUAGAUGAACGUAAAGGACUUCUUUAAUAAAAAGUUAGCCACCCUGUAAGGCAGAGGAGGCGGUGGAAACAACCAAACCCAGACAAAAUCCAAACAAACAAGUGGGUGUGUCCCAAAGGGAGAGGUCAAUGGAAGAGCAGGCAGGCUGGCAGAGAACAGGGACAGGGGACACUGUGGCUGGAGCGCAGUGUCAUUCGCCUGUGCACAUGCUGGAUGGGGUGGGGCAGGCAGCCAGGGUGAGUCUCAAGUUCUAUGUGAGCUGAGGGAGAGGGCCUGAAGAGAAGGGUAUCUGGCAUAAGGAGAGACGCUGCUCUCACCUCCACAGUCUGCCUCUUUCUCGAAUCUGAAAUGCCUUCCUCUGUUUUGUCUACAUGUAAACUUGCACUCCUUCAUGAGCUCUGACCUAAGUGAGGACGUCUGACAGCGUGCCUGGGACCUAGAGGCCAUGUUGAUAUGGAUUGCUCCUUCCUAUACCUUCCCACAGUUCUUUGUCUCACUGACACUCAUCAUCCUGAAUCGCAGAGCUUCUGUCGCUCUGUGAGCAUCCUAAGGUGGGGACAAGUUUUAUCCCUAACAUCCCUCCUAGUCCCCACCACAUUGUACUGAAUAGGUGCGGAAUGAGCGCAUGCGACACAGAUGACGAAGUCUGGGACGGGAGGUGGACAUUUACUCCUGCUCUGGGCACAGAGGAAGAUAUGGCCUUCACAGUGAGGCCUAGAGUAGUGCCACCGAAAAUCCUGGAGCUGUCUGGGUGUCAAUCCGGAGCAAGGUACACGGAUACCCUCACCGUGCAGGUACAGAGCUGGAACUGUAACUUGGAGGGAAUGGUGGAGAGAAGGGGGAAGUGAGGCUGGGGUAGGGUGGUCUCUCAGAGUGCAGGAAGCCCUCUGCCUCAGACUCCAGAGGCAAUGGGAGUCACUGCUUUAGGGAGAACGGAGCGUGUGUGAAUAUCCACAGAGACCAGAAGAGGAGGUUGGGUCCCCUAGAGCUGGAGUAACAGGCAGCUGUGGGCUGCCUGCUGUGGCUACAACAGACUGAAUUCUGGCCAUCUGACAACUAAGGAUUUUACUAAGUGCUUAUUAUGUUUCAAAUUCAGCAGCAGAUGUUUUACAAGGCGGUAGGCCACCGGGUGAGUGCUCCUAACCCUUAGAUCAGAGGCAAGGAGAUGAGGUAUGAGAAAAGCCAGACAAACAGCACCGCGCCAAGUCCCUCUUCUGACCUCCGAGGAUACCAGGAGUGCACAUGCAGGAUGCGGAGUUCAUUACGGAAUGCAAUUUCCCAUUUGUUGCUAGUUCCAGUGGUGGAGCAAACCGAACUUGAUGAAAUAAUAAACACGUCCCAUGAAUCUGAAGAAUAGGACAGCGAUGAGAACCCCGUAUCCAGGGCAACCAAGAGUUCAGACUUCUCAGUCCAUAAAUAAUCAUUCCCCGGCUUGCCCUCUGUACUCCUGGUCUCUGAGCCACUUUCUGACAAAAUGGGCUCCAUCCGGACGGAGGCUGCCACUCUUUCUCUAACUGGGGCUUAAAUGACUGCUGGGGAAUAUUCUAUAAAAAAGGCACCGUUUCACUUCUGUCUGCAACUGACUCUUGUAAUUUUUCUCUGGUGAGAGGAUGCUCUGUGGCCAGAGUCAUGGGGGCAUAGAUACCAUCUAGCACCAAGCUGCCUAGAAAGUUCUGGGUAUCCAUGGCUGCGUCUAAUGAGACCAGAUUGAGCAAGAGGAAGCUGGAGGCAGGGGAGACAGAGACAAAGGUCCCAAAGUGAGCACUGGUGGUAACUGUCCGCCUUUGAACCUCCUUAGAGACUUCUGGAUUCACUGUCCAUGAUGACUUGCAUGUUCUCUCAAGAGCACAGGAACCUUAUCUUCCAUUGGAUGCCUGUAGCACCCAUUUGACAAGCAACUCACAUAUUAAGAGUCAGGAAGACAGCCGGGCCACUUCUCAGGAACCGCAGUGUUCUCACAGGAAGUGGAAACGCUAGUGGCAGCUGGAAGGACUCAUGUAACUAACACAUUGGACUACACGCCAAGAGGCUGCCCAGACACACGAUGUCUACAAAACUGUUGGGGGGCCUGGAACAACUGGCAGAUAGCAAACAAUUACUUAUUAAAUAUGCAAAACUUAUCUUCUCUCUACUACAUUUGAACUUAACAUUAUGUAGGUUUAAAACGUAUCUUAAACAUUUUAAGGAUUUAUUGAUAUUUACUUAA